rnacentral:lncRNA from 1 species
AUGCUACAAGGUCGUCGUCGUCGAUCCUGGUUUGAUUUGGUCAUUACUGUGAAUGGAAAGAAGGAGAAAAUAGCUUCAGGUUUGUUCAACCCCUUUCACUGCCACUUGAAGGUUGCUCAAGAUCAAAUGGCGAAGGUUGGUUAUUCAAUUGUUCUUGUGCCUGAGCACGAAAGCGAUGCCACGUGGUUUUCCAGAGGAACUAUUGAAAGGUAUGGCUUGUUAUCAUAA